rnacentral:tRNA from 1 species
AAGCCUUAAGUUAAAAUUAAAGAAACUAUUAACCUUCAAAGUUAAAAAUAUACAUUAGACUUUGAUAG